CUACGGGAGGCAGCAGUGAGGAAUUUUGCGCAAUGGGCGAAAGCCUGACGCAGCAACGCCGCGUGAGUGAUGAAGGCUUUCGGGUCGUAAAGCUCUGUCAAGUGGGAAGAACCUAUAUAAUGCCAAUACCAUUAUAUACUGACGGUACCACUGAAGGAAGCACCGGCUAACUCCGUGCCAGCAGCCGCGGUAAUACGGGGGGUGCAAGCGUUAUUCGGAAUCAUUGGGCGUAAAGGGCACGUAGGCGGCCUGGUAAGUCAGAUGUGAAAGCCCGGGGCUUAACCCCGGAAGUGCAUUUGAUACUGUCAGGCUUGAGUAUGGGAGAGGGAAGUGGAAUUCCUGGUGUAGAGGUGAAAUUCGUAGAUAUCAGGAGGAACACCGGUGGCGAAGGCGACUUCCUGGACCAAUACUGACGCUGAGGUGCGAAGGCGUGGGUAGCAAACAGGAUUAGAUACCCUGGUAGUCCACGCAGUAAACGUUGUUCACUAGGUGUAGCGGGUAUUGACCCCUGCUGUGCCGCAGUUAUACGCAUUAAGUGUUCCGCCUGGGGAGUACGGCCGCAAGCUAAAACUCAAAGGAAUUGACGG
rnacentral:rRNA from 1 species